rnacentral:rRNA from 1 species
UACAGAGGGUGCAAGCGUUAAUCGGAAUUACUGGGCGUAAAGCGCACGUAGGCGGUUAUGCAAGACAGAGGUGAAAUCCCCGGGCUCAACCUGGGAACUGCCUUUGUGACUGCAUAGCUAGAGUACGGCAGAGGGGGAUGGAAUUCCGCGUGUAGCAGUGAAAUGCGUAGAUAUGCGGAGGAACACCGAUGGCGAAGGCAAUCCCCUGGGCCUGUACUGACGCUCAUGCACGAAAGCGUGGGGAGCAAACAGG